AACGAACGCUGGCGGCAGGCCUAACACAUGCAAGUCGAGCGAGGACUUCGGUCCUAGCGGUGGACGGGUGAGAAACGCGUGGGAACGUGCCCUUUGCUACGGAAUAGCCCCGGGAAACUGGGAGUAAUACCGUAUGUGCCCUUCGGGGGAAAGAGUUAUCGGCAAAGGAUCGGCCCGCGUUGGAUUAGGUAGUUGGUGGGGUAAUGGCCUACCAAGCCGACGAUCCAUAGCUGGUUUGAGAGGAUGAUCAGCCACACUGGGACUGAGACACGGCCCAGACUCCUACGGGAGGCAGCAGUGGGGAAUCUUGGACAAUGGGCGCAAGCCUGAUCCAGCCAUGCCGCGUGAGUGAUGAAGGCCUUAGGGUUGUAAAGCUCUUUCACCGGGGAAGAUAAUGACGGUAUCCGGAGAAGAAGCCCCGGCUAACUUCGUGCCAGCCGCCGCAGUAACAC
rnacentral:rRNA from 1 species